UCAUUGGUGGUAUUGUGGGGAGUACAGCUGCCUUCCAAGCAGUUGGGCCACAUUCAAUUCCNGGCCAAUGCA
rnacentral:tRNA from 1 species